rnacentral:rRNA from 1 species
CGUGUGCUUACAAGUAGUCAGAGCCCGUUAAUGGGUGAUGGCGUGCCUUUUGUAGAAUGAACCGGCGAGUUACGAUUUGAUGCAAGGUUAAGCAGUAAAUGUGGAGCCGUAGCGAAAGCGAGUCUGAAUAGGGCGUUUAGUAUUUGGUCGUAGACCCGAAACCAGGUGAUCUACCCUUGGUCAGGUUGAAGUUCAGGUAACACUGAAUGGAGGACCGAACCGACUUACGUUGAAAAGUGAGCGGAUGAACUGAGGGUAGCGGAGAAAUUCCAAUCGAACCUGGAGAUAGCUGGU